AACAUUUUGAUUUUCAGAGGAGGUGUUGUCUUCGAUCUCUGUUUCGUUUCUUGUUCGUCUAGGUUUUCUUUUUCACAAGAAUGCCCUCUUCUUCUUCUUCGUCUUCUUGCCGGAGAUCUUUUCUAGCCAGUUUGAAGCUCCUCCUCGCCUGAAUUUCACCGUCUUCUCCGGCGAUCAUUGCUUCUAAAUUAAUACAACAACGCCCCUUUCCCAUUUCACUUUGAAUUGGGAUUAAUUCCCUCGCAAUUUCUUCUUUUCCGAUCGAAAUGUCGGAGAAUUUUGGAGCAUGACGUUUUCUUUGGUGAAUGAUGAGAGCUUCAUUUGGGGCUUUUGACGAUUCUAAUUCUCCUUCCACAUCGACCCCACCGCUGCCGCCUCACAUUUCUCAGCCUGGUCCGGCUUACCCCUCGAGCAGGCAAAGAGUCAGUAAUGUUUUUCAACUUUUAGCCCAGAGGGAGCUUUCUCCUCGAACGAAAUGUGCAUCAAGGAGGUUUUGGGGAGAUUCUCAUGACCGCCAAUGUGAUUCGGUUGGGCCGAGAUGUGAAGCAGCUAGAGAUGCUAAGCAGGGACUUAUCUCAUGGGUUGAGGCUGAAUCACUACGCCAUCUUUCAGCUAAAUAUUGUCCGCUUUUGCCUCCUCCAAGGUCAACAAUUGCAGCAGCAUUCAGCCCUGAUGGGAGAACGCUUGCUUCUACACAUGGAGAUCAUACUGUAAAAAUCAUUGAUUGCCAAACUGGGACCUGCUUAAAGGUGCUGAGUGGUCAUCGGAGAACCCCUUGGGUGGUAAGCGUGAAAGCUCUCUCUCUCUCUCUCUCUUUGUUGAUAAGAAAUCUUUCUGUGCGACUCAAGUUGCUCGAAUCUUCUAUUCAUCCUCCGGUAAUCUUUCAGGUCAGAUUCCAUCCACUGCGCCCUGAAAUUCUUGCUAGUGGAAGCUUGGAUUAUGAUGUUCGACUUUGGGAUGCAAACACGGCAGAAUGCAUUGGCUCUCGUGAUUUCUAUCGUCCCAUUGCAUCCAUAGCUUUCCACGCCCAAGGAGAGCUUCUCGCUGUGGCAUCGGGUCAUAAGCUUUACAUUUGGCACUACAACAAAAGAGGGGAGACACCCUCACCAACCAUUGUUUUAAGGACACGGCGAUCGUUGCGUGCAGUGCAUUUUCACCCACAUGCAGCCCAAUUCCUUUUAACUGCUGAGGUCAAUGAUCUUGAUACAUCAGAAUCUGCCAUAACAUUAGCAACAUCUCCUGGAUAUGUGCAAUAUCCACCUCCUACCGUAUAUUUUGCCGAUGCACAAUCUUCUGAUCGUUCUAGUUUGGUGGAUGGCCUACCUUUGAUGUCCUUUCCUCUGUUGAUAUGGCCUUCAUUUUCUAAAGAAAAUAGGAGAAUGUCGAUGCAUCGAACAGAAGCAGAACCUGGUGCAGGGAGAUUACAAAGAGUUGAUCCGUCUGCUUCAGUACGGCUUUUAACAUAUUCAACACCGUCAGGACAGUAUGAACUUGUGUUGUCACCCAUUGAUCCUAAUAGCUCAUCACCAGUUCCAGAAGAAACUGGAACCAAUCCUUACUCGAAUGAAAUGGAAACAGAAGUUUCAGAAACUGCGGUGGAUGCUUCAGAGAAUAUGGAAGUGCAGAACGAAGUGAGGAAUAAUCAAAAUUUUCCUUUUAAUGACCCUUGGGAACUUCCUUUCUUGCAAGGGUGGUUAAUUGGCCAAAGUCAAGCUAGUCAACCUGCUCUUCGGCCACACAAUGAUGAUGUUCGUGAACAUUCUUCUGCAGCAUCUGAUAUAGGAGGAAUUCAUGCUCCACUUACUUCGUUAAUUCCUAGCAGUGUUAGCCAAAGCAGAGGUAGGAGAUCUGGUUCAAGAAAUCGUUCUUUACGUUCUCGUGUGCCCGUGCCUGUAAGUGGGUCAGAUGAAGGUGCUAGUAUGAGUACCUCAAUUCCUGAUGAAAGUGAUCCACAACCUAUUGUCAGUAGAAUUCAGUCUGAGCUUGCUGCCUCUUUGGCAGCAGUAGCAGCUGCUGAGUUACCUUGUACUGUGAAACUCAGGAUAUGGUCACAUGAUGUUAAAAAUCCUUGUGCUCCACUGGAUGAUGAAAGAUGUCGGUUAAUCAUUCCGCAUGCCGUUCUUUGUAGUGAAAUGGGUGCCCAUUUUUCACCUUGUGGGAGAUUUUUGGCAGCAUGUGUGGCAUGUAUGUUGCCACAUAUGGAAGCUGAUCCUGGAUUCCAAAGCCAUGCUAAUAAUGAUGCAACUGGUGCUGCAACAUCACCUACACGACACCCAGUUUCGGCUCAGCAGGUCAUGUACGAGCUUCGGAUAUACUCUCUGGAGGAGGCAACGUUUGGCAUGGUACUAGCAUCUCGAGCAAUAAGAGCUGCUCAUUGUCUAACAUCUAUACAGUUCUCUCCCACAUCAGAACAUCUAUUACUUGCUUACGGCCGUCGCCAUAGUUCACUUCUUAAAAGUGUUGUUGUAGAUGGAGAGACAACUGUGCCCAUAUACACUAUACUUGAGGUUUACAGAGUUUCUGAUAUGGAACUUGUGAGAGUUCUUCCGAGUGCCGAGGACGAGGUAAAUGUGGCUUGUUUUCAUCCCUCGGUGGGAGGCGGUGUUGUCUACGGGACCAAGGAGGGGAAGUUGAGAAUCCUUCAAUAUGAUAGUUCUCAAGCCUGUAAUCACUCAACAUAUGGUGGUUUUCUUGAUGAAAACAUGUUUGAGGUUCCGACAUAUGCCUUAGAAUGCUAGUAAUUGUCAAUCACAACAUGAGAUUCAGCGCAGCUUGACCGGUUCGUGUCUCUUUCACAUUCUCAAGGGUGGAUGUGCUUGCGUGUGCUUUUCAAGUAGCCUCGGAGCAAAGGCGAACAGAUCGAUCCACCGAGUAUUACUGGAAAUUCCCUCAUAGAGAGGCAUGUCUAAAAUUCAGUAUGGCGCACCAUUGUUGUACAAGCUUGUAUUUUUCUGUUUGUAAUUUUAAAACUGCUCUGGUGCUUAGAUGAUUUGAUCUUUACCUGGAAUUACAUAUACAGAUGAGAUAUUAAAAAAAAAAAGAAAAGAAAAUGUGAAGGGCGAGUUUAUUGUAUGUGCUUUGUUUGCCUAAAAUUUCCAGACGUUUGAAUUGAAUUGGAUGGACAUGAUGAAGUGUAAUUUGUUUUUGUCAUGAUUUUGCAUGGAA